rnacentral:rRNA from 1 species
GACGAACGCUGGCGGCGUGCCUAAUACAUGCAAGUAGAACGCUGAAGAGAGGAGCUUGCUCUUCUUGGAUGAGUUGCGAACGGGUGAGUAACGCGUAGGUAACCUGCCUUGUAGCGGGGGAUAACUAUUGGAAACGAUAGCUAAUACCGCAUAACAAUGGAUGACACAUGUCAUUUAUUUGAAAGGGGCAAUUGCUCCACUACAAGAUGGACCUGCGUUGUAUUAGCUAGUAGGUGAGGUAACGGCUCACCUAGGCGACGAUACAUAGCCGACCUGAGAGGGUGAUCGGCCACACUGGGACUGAGACACGGCCCAGACUCCUACGGGAGGCAGCAGUAGGGAAUCUUCGGCAAUGGGGGCAACCCUGACCGAGCAACGCCGCGUGAGUGAAGAAGGUUUUCGGAUCGUAAAGCUCUGUUGUAAGUCAAGAACGAGUGUGAGAGUGGAAAGUUCACACUGUGACGGUAGCUUACCAGAAAGGGACGGCUAACUACGUGCCAGCAGCCGCGGUAAUACGUAGGUCCCGAGCGUUGUCCGGAUUUAUUGGGCGUAAAGCGAGCGCAGGCGGUUUGAUAAGUCUGAAGUUAAAGGCUGUGGCUCAACCAUAGUUCGCUUUGGAAACUGUCAAACUUGAGUGCAGAAGGGGAGAGUGGAUUCCAUGUGUAGCGGUGAAAUGCGUAGAUAUAUGGAGGAACCCCGGUGGCGAAAGCGGCUCUCUGGUCUGUAACUGACGCUGAGGCUCGAAAGCGUGGGGAGCGAACAGGAUUAGAUACCCUGGUAGUCCACGCCGUAAACGAUGAGUGCUAGGUGUUGGAUCCUUUCCGGGAUUCAGUGCCGCAGCUAACGCAUUAAGCACUCCGCCUGGGGAGUACGACCGCAAGGUUGAAACUCAAAGGAAUUGACGGGGGCCCGCACAAGCGGUGGAGCAUGUGGUUUAAUUCGAAGCAACGCGAAGAACCUUACCAGGUCUUGACAUCCCGAUGCUAUUUCUAGAGAUAGAAAGUUACUUCGGUACAUCGGUGACAGGUGGUGCAUGGUUGUCGUCAGCUCGUGUCGUGAGAUGUUGGGUUAAGUCCCGCAACGAGCGCAACCCCUAUUGUUAGUUGCCAUCAUUCAGUUGGGCACUCUAGCGAGACUGCCGGUAAUAAACCGGAGGAAGGUGGGGAUGACGUCAAAUCAUCAUGCCCCUUAUGACCUGGGCUACACACGUGCUACAAUGGUUGGUACAACGAGUUGCGAGUCGGUGACGGCAAGCUAAUCUCUUAAAGCCAAUCUCAGUUCGGAUUGUAGGCUGCAACUCGCCUACAUGAAGUCGGAAUCGCUAGUAAUCGCGGAUCAGCACGCCGCGGUGAAUACGUUCCCGGGCCU